rnacentral:rRNA from 1 species
AUUGAACGCUGGCGGCAUGCCUUACACAUGCAAGUCGAACGGCAGCACGGGAGCAAUCCUGGUGGCGAGUGGCGAACGGGUGAGUAAUAUAUCGGAACGUGCCCGGUCGUGGGGAUAACGUAGCGAAAGCUACGCUAAUACCGCAUACGAUCUAUGGAUGAAAGCGGGGGAUCGCAAGACCUCGCGCGAUUGGAGCGGCCGAUAUCAGAUUAGGUAGUUGGUGAGGUAAAGGCUCACCAAGCCGACGAUCUGUAGCUGGUCUGAGAGGACGACAGCCACACUGGGACUGAGACACGGCCCAGACUCCUACGGGAGGCAGCAGUGGGGAAUUUUGGACAAUGGGCGCAAGCCUGAUCCAGCAAUGCCGCGUGCAGGAUGAAGGCCU